rnacentral:lncRNA from 1 species
ACGUCAUUGAAAUAUCACAUGUAGUCGUCGGUUCCCUAAUUGCCGUUGACGCUGUCGCAGUUCCGGUGCUGCCGUUUACUGUACUACAUCCUACAUUUCCGCCGGGUACUGCUACCACAUUAUCAGGUAUGAGUGUAACUCUAGAUUCCUGCCCUGUAAUUGGAGUUACGUUUGAAUCCACGACCGUUGAAUCUCUUGGUGACUUGCUUAAGUUAGCCUGACCAGGUUCUAGCCUUGCUUUAGGCAAUCGCGAGAAGUGUCCGAAGUUCUGGAAUCGAUUUGAAUUUUCUGUGACGGUGCGCCUAGAAGGAGGUAUAGGCGGUCGAGGAGCCGUUCCGAUCGGCGCUGCAGGCGAUGGUUGUGGCGGAGGUGGACGGAUCUCAAACGUAG